rnacentral:rRNA from 1 species
GUGGGGAAUCUUCCGCAAUGGACGAAAGUCUGACGGAGCAACGCCGCGUGAGUGAAGAAGGUUUUCAGAUCGUAAAGCUCUUUCGUUAGGGACGAACGUGCUCUUUGUGAAUAAUGAGGAGUAAUGACGGUACCUAAAUAAGAAGCCACGGCUAACUACGUGCCAGCAGCCGCGGUAAUACGUAGGUGGCAAGCGUUGUCCGGAAUUAUUGGGCGUAAAGCGCGCGCAGGCGGGAUAUCAAGUCUGUCUUAAAAGUGCGAGGCUCAACCUCGUGAGGGGACAGAAACUGGUAUUCUUGAGUGUCGGAGAGGAAAGUGGAAUUCCAAGUGUAGCGGUGAAAUGCGUAGAGAUUUGGAAGAACACCAGUGGCGAAGGCGACUUUCUGGACGAUGUCUGACGCUGAGGCGCGAAAGCUAGGGGAGCGAACGGGAUUAGAUACCCUGGUAGUCC